CGAGACCUCAGGUCAGGCGGGCUCCCUGCUGAAGUUUAAGCAUAUCAUUAAGC
rnacentral:rRNA from 1 species